UACGAAGGGGCUAGCGUUGCUCGGAAUCACUGGGCGUAAAGGGUGCGUAGGCGGGUCUUUAAGUCAGGGUGAAAUCCUGGAGCUCAACUCCAGAACUGCCUUUGAUACUGAAGAUCUUGAGUGCGGGAGAGGUGAGUGGAACUGCGAGUGUAGAGGUGAAAUUCGUAGAUAUUCGCAAGAACACCAGUGGCGAAGGCGGACUCACUGGCCCGAUACUGACGCUGAGGCACGAAAGCGUGGGAGCAACAGGG
rnacentral:rRNA from 1 species